GUCUGCUUAGCUCAGUGGGAGAGCGACGGUCUGAAGUUCAACAUCUUCGAUAGGAGAUGUUCUGGCUACCGCAGGUCGGGUGUUCAAUCCACCCAGCGGACA